rnacentral:rRNA from 1 species
AUUGAACGCUGGCGGCAUGCUUUACACAUGCAAGUCGAACGGCAGCGCGGGCUUCGGCCUGGCGGCGAGUGGCGAACGGGUGAGUAAUACAUCGGAACGUGCCCAGUAGUGGGGGAUAGCUCGUCGAAAGCCGGAUUAAUACCGCAUACGACCUGAGGGUGAAAGCGGGGGAUCUUCGGACCUUGCGCUAUUGGAGCGGCCGAUGGCAGAUUAGCUAGUUGGUGGGGUAAAGGCCUACCAAGGCGACGAUCUGUAGCUGGUCUGAGAGGACGACCAGCCACCCUGGGACUGAGACACGGCCCAGACUCCUACGGGAGGCAGCAGUGGGGAAUUUUGGACAAUGGGCGAAAGCCUGAUCCAGCAAUGCCGCGUGUGUGAUGAAGGCCUUCGGGUUGUAAAGCACUUUUGGCGGGAACGAAAAGGACUGUGCCAAUACCACGGUUCGAUGACGGUACCCGCAGAAUAAGCACCGGCUAACUACGUG